rnacentral:rRNA from 1 species
CUCCCGUGAAGUCAGCGGCGGACGGGCUGAGUAACACGUGGGCAACCUGCCUGUAAGACUGGGAUAACUUCGGGAAACCGGAGCUAAUACCGGAUAAUGCAUGUCCCCUCAUGGGGACCUGCUGAAAGAUGGUUUCGGCUAUCACUUACAGAUGGGCCCGCGGCGCAUUAGCUAGUUGGUGAGGUAACGGCUCACCAAGGCAACGAUGCGUAGCCGACCUGAGAGGGUGAUCGGCCACACUGGGACUGAGACACGGCCCAGACUCCUACGGGAGGCAGCAGUAGGGAAUCUUCCGCAAUGGACGAAAGUCUGACGGAGCAACGCCGCGUGAGUGAUGAAGGUUUUCGGAUCGUAAAACUCUGUUGUCAGGGAAGAACAAGUGCCGGAGUAACUGCCGGCGCCUUGACGGUACCUGACCAGAAAGCCACGGCUAACUACGUGCCAGCAGCCGCGGUAAUACGUAGGUGGCAAGCGUUGUCCGGAAUUAUUGGGCGUAAAGCGCGCGCAGGCGGUCUCUUAAGUCUGAUGUGAAAGCCCACGGCUCAACCGUGGAGGGUCAUUGGAAACUGGGGGACUUGAGUGCAGAAGAGGAAAGUGGAAUUCCACGUGUAGCGGUGAAAUGCGUAGAGAUGUGGAGGAACACCAGUGGCGAAAGGCGACUUUCUGGUCUGUAACUGACGCUGAGGCGCGAAAAGCGUGGGGAGCAAACAGGAUUAGAUACCCUGGUAGUCC